rnacentral:rRNA from 1 species
GGAUUGCCCUAGUAACGGCGAGUGAAGCGGCAACAGCUCAAAUUUGAAAUCUGGCUUCGGCCCGAGUUGUAAUUUGCAGAGGAUGUUUAUGGUGCGGUACCUUCCGAGUUCCCUGGAACGGGACGCCACAGAGGGUGAGAGCCCCGUCUGGUUGGAUACCAAACCUGUGUUAAACUCCUUCAACGAGUCGAGUAGUUUGGGAAUGCUGCUCUAAAUGGGAGGUAAAUCUCUUCUAAAGCUAAAUACCGGCCAGAGACCGAUAGCGCACAAGUAGAGUGAUCGAAAGAUGAAAAGCACCUUGAAAAGGGGGUUAAACAGUACGUGAAAUUGUUAAAAGGGAAGCGUUUAUGACCAGACUUGUGUCGUGUGGCUCAUCCGAGGUUCUCCCCGGUGCACUCCACACGGCUCAGGCCAACAUCGGUUCUCGUUGGGGGAUAAGAACAGUAGGAACGUGGCCCUCUUCGGAGGGUGUUAUAGCCUGCUGUACGAUACCCUGAUGGGGACCGAGGACCGCGCUUCGGCUAGGAUGUUGGCGUAAUGGUCAUUAGCGACCCGUCUUGAAACACGGACCAAGGAGUCGUCCAUUAGAGCGAGCGUUUGGGUGUAAAACCCGCACGCGUAAUGAAAGUGAAAUUAGGUGAGAGCUUCGGCGCAUCAUCGACCGAUCCUGAAGUUUACGGAUGGAUUUGAGUAAGAGUUUUAACGGACGGACCCGAAAGACAGUGAACUAUGCUUGAAUAGGGUGAAGCCAGAGGAAACUCUGGUGGAGGCUCGCAGCGGUUCUGACGUGCAAAUCGAUCGUCAAAUUUGAGCAUGGGGGCGAAAGACUAAUCGAACUGUCUAGUAGCUGGUUACCGCCGAAGUUUCCCUCAGGAUAGCAGUGUUGACCUUCAGUUUUAUGAGGUAAAGCGAAUGAUUAGGGACUCGGGGGCGCUUAUUAGCCUUCAUCCAUUCUCAAACUUUAAAUAUGUAAGAAGCCCUUGUUACUUAAUUGA